UAUCUCUGUAGAGUCUGCAUAUCAAUAAGCGGAGGAAAAGAAACUAACUAGGAUUCCCUCAGUAACGGCGAGUGAAGCGGGAAGAGCUCAAAUUUGAAAUCUUCAAGGUUCUACCUUGACGAAUUGUAGUUUAAAGAAGUGUUUUCUGUUGGAGUUUUGGUAAAAGUUCUUUGGAAUAGGACAUCAUAGAGGGUGAGAAUCCCGUAUUUGACCAUUAUUUCCAGCUUUGUGAUACACUUUCAAAGAGUCGGAUUGUUUGGGAAUGCAGUCCAAAAUGGGUGGUAAAUUUCAUCUAAAGCUAAAUAUUGGCGAGAGACCGAUAGCGAACAAGUACCGUGAGGGAAAGAUGAAAAGAACUUUGAAAAGAGAGUUAAACAGUACGUGAAAUUGUCAAAAGGGAAGCGUUUGACACCAGUGCUGUUUUCUCGAAAAUCAAUUAAAAAAGGCAGGAUUUUGUGUUGUAUUGACUUUAUCAGCUUUCUGCACUCUUUUCUUGUCUUUUUAAUGCACUUUUCGUUUAACAAGUCCAACAUCAAUUUCUUUUGUUGUAAAAGGGUCAUUGGAAGGUGGCUUUCUUUUCGGAGAAAGUGUUUAUAGCCUUUGGCCUCUGCAAUCGGAGAGAUUGAGGUCUGCAGCGUAGAUCCUUCGGGGUUAGAUACAUUUGUGCUAAGUUAUAGCCUUUCAUAGACAACUUGUUGACUAUGAUUCAGUCAUGUCGCUUACUCGCUUAUGCUAUUUUACCUACGCUUAGGAUGUUGACGAGACUGUCGAUCUC
rnacentral:rRNA from 1 species